UGGGGAAUCUUGCGCAAUGGGCGAAAGCCUGACGCAGCCAUGCCGCGUGAAUGAUGAAGGUCUUAGGAUUGUAAAAUUCUUUCACCGGGGACGAUAAUGACGGUACCCGGAGAAGAAGCCCCGGCUAACUUCGUGCCAGCAGCCGCGGUAAUACGAAGGGGGCUAGCGUUGCUCGGAAUUACUGGGCGUAAAGGGCGCGUAGGCGGACAUUUAAGUCAGGGGUGAAAUCCCAGAGCUCAACUCUGGAACUGCCUUUGAUACUGGGUGUCUUGAGUGUGAGAGAGGUAUGUGGAACUCCGAGUGUAGAGGUGAAAUUCGUAGAUAUUCGGAAGAACACCAGUGGCGAAGGCGACAUACUGGCUCAUUACUGACGCUGAGGCGCGAAAGCGUGGGGAGCAAACAGGAUUAGAUACCCUGGUAGUCCACGCCGUAAACGAUGAUUGCUAGUUGUCGGGCUGCAUGCAGUUCGGUGACGCAGCUAACGCAUUAAGCAAUUCCGC
rnacentral:rRNA from 1 species